GGAAUCUUAAUCUAAAUAUUAAGAUAAGGUAAGAGAAAAUAAUGAUAUUAUCUUACUAUUAGUGUCGUCUAAAUUUGGUGCCAGAAGACUCGGUAAGACCUUAGACGCAAACGUUAAUCGUCAUAAUCAGGCGUAAAGGGUGUGUAGGCGGCUUUAAAAAGAUAUAAUUAAGGAUAUAAUUAUUAUAGCUAACAAAAAUUAUAUUUGAAUAAAAGCUAGAAUCUAAAAGAGGGUAAGCUAAACAACAUAAUUAAUUGGGACUGACAACUUAUAAUAAUGUGGAGUACUAAAGGUUAAAGCUAUUUAUCUACUUAAGAUUGACGCUCAGAAACGAAGGGGAGAAUAAGAAACUUAGAUUAGAGACCUAAUUAUCUCUCUCAGUCAACGAUGAAUGGUAGUUAUUAAAAAAAAAAUUAUAUUAUUAGUAACGAGGUUAACACGAUGACCAUUCCGCCUUGUUAGUAAGACUGCAAAGUUGAAAACAAAAAAAUUAGUCGGUCUUGAAGCAAACGAAGUGAAGCAUGUUAUUUAAUUC
rnacentral:rRNA from 1 species